UAUAUACAUAUAUACCGGAGUUACGUCAUUAUCACUUUCAAUAUAUACAUUCUAAUCCUAUGAAACAUAAUCAUAAUUUGUUUAAUCGCUCAGCUCUUCCUGUCCAAGCAAGCAAUACUCUAACUUAAUCAGCUUUAUGAAUACACGCACAUUUUUUUCAAAUUACACGGGUUGCAUAUAAUUGUACAUUUUCAAAAUCAAACUGAAAACAUGAGUCAUAUUACUCUUCUGAUUGAGCCAUCUUUUUUAUCACUAGCGUUAUCAGUUGUGAUUAAUUUCAGAAUCAAUUCGAAUACAUUAGCAAAGAUAAACUAACACUAACACGCAAUUCAUCGUGGGAACGCAAAGAAAAAAAAUUUGCACAAACAGGAUUCAAAAGAAAUUAUUACCCUAAUCUUAAAAAAAUGCGGUUUUUUUCUUAAAUUAAGAAAAUUUUAUGCCCACACGCAAUCUUUUCUCGUAACGGAUACAACUGGGAUUUGACAUAGUAUUUUUAUUGAAUUGUAACUGUUUUUGAAGGGUAGCUGGUUCGAAAUUAACACCUAUUAAGAGCCGGUUUAGCAUACACAUUUCGCAAUGAUAUUCUUUAUUUCCUUCAGAAAACGGGUCAUAACAAUGCCGUUGACUGAAAAAUAUCACAUACAAUAACUGUUUUAUAACAUCAAUAUCGGUUAAUUUUACCUACUUAAUCAGAAAGCAGCAGUUCUUCACUGUGAGCAGCUUCACCUUUUUCGCAAUAAAUCAUGGUCAAUUUUUGAAACGUCCAUGUACGGGGGCAUAGAGACUACUAAGGAGAAUUAGAUACUUCUACUUCAUGGUCAGAUCAACUAACCAACAAUUGCAAAAUCACUCACGUUUCAGGUCAAAGUGCAAUACGCUACAUCUGUAACUCUCAGUACGAAACUGGACGCAUAUCAGAUUUUUAAUUAGUAGCAGCAAGAUUGUUCAUUCGGUUAGUACAAGAACGCAUUUAAGGAUACAUAGGCAUGUGGGUCAAAAUCGUGCCAGGUCAACGAAAGUUAUACAAACUGUUCUCACUUUUAUUUUAAAAACCUGUGUAAAAUUUGGAAGUGAUUGUCUGAACCAUAGCAGAAUUAUUUUACUUCUAAUUUAUUGUGAUUUAACACUAAUUCUUAUGGGAAACUGAGAGGCUCAAGGUAAGAUCAUAAAAAAUUUAAAGUAAAAUAACUCUGCUAUGGUUCAGACAAUCGCUUUCAAAUUUUACACAGGGCUUCAAAAUGAAAGUGAGUACAAUUUGUAUAAUUUUCACUGAAACAGUAUGAGUUUAGAAAAUCUAUAGAACUGAACCAAUAUCUUGGAAUUAGAGCGAGAUUUGAGCCUGGAAUAAUUGUAAAUGAUAUACAUAGCAUUAUGCAAUAUUUCACCACUUUGGCUUAAUCAAGUUGAGAAGCAAUGAAACCAACUAAUGCUAAAACGCAAAGAAGCAGCAAAGAUCAGUCAAUCUGCCUGCUCUAUGGUAUCUUAGAUCAUAAUGUUAACAAUGAUCCGUUAUGUUAUUAAUUUUUGAAUUAUUAUGUCAGUGUCAAAUGAAUUCAGCUGCAAUCAUAGACAUAAUGGCAUUGUCUUAUGUUGUCUUGCCAGAUGUAGAUGGAUAGGAAUCUGAUAUCAGAGGUGAAUUACAAUUCACACUGGCAAUGAGUUGCAACAAUCAGGUUCAAUUUAUUUAUUUGAACACAAAGAGUGUGUUUAGAUAUUAUUCGUGACCUUGUUGUCUUUUAGUAAGAAAGAAUUUCGUCGGUUGAAGGUCAUUUUACAUUAAUUUUAUUUUAUUUACAAAACAUGUAAAUUAGACGUUGCGGUCUAAAUCUUCAGGGAAUAAGUGACAACCUUUUCCGCUUUGAUGUUGUUUAAACGGCAUGAUGGAAGUUAGUAUGACCUGAAAUGUUUUCUUACAUAAAGAGUAUAGACCACUUCCUGGUUCUGGUUCCUUGUGAACUUUGUAUCUGGUGGCUAUCAGCUCAUGACUGAUGAUGUGCCGUUUGAUUGUAAUACUAACGGCACACCAUUACCUUAAAUUCACCAGCAUAAAUAAUCAUUCAUGCUUCCGUUGUAGACAUUAUGAAUGUAAUUGUGCCGAUGAUUCCUGAGCUGAUCGGAACAGUUACAAAUUAAAUGUGUUCUAGGAUCAGUGUUUAUCGCAAGGAAUAAGUUACAUCAGCUUGAAAGAAAUCGGAAGCCUCUCUCACAACGGACAUAAGUGUCAAACAUUUAUAUCCAGCUAAUCCUCAACAGGCAAUGUCACAACAGCAGUCUCAACACCAAGGCCAACCAAUUACAGAAAUGAGUCCACAAAUUCAAAUACAAACAGGAGCUAUUCCGGAGGCAGUCAGUCCGGUUGGUCCUCAACCCACAGCUGCUGUAUCGACACGCAUAAGCACGCUUUGCAAGUACUUAUGCAUGCCCUUCGGAGUCCAAACACGCCUGAGCAACAAAACCAAAUUCUAGAGAUACUCGAAAGUAAUCCUUAGCUACGCGCAUAGUGGAUGCGCACCAAACGUCUAGAUUACGAACGUAGCCGGGAAUCCCGCAACUACGUCGGUUGGAUCGUCGAAGUAGAACCCGAUCCGCAUCGCCAAUUCAAGUCAUUGUCGCCCGAUUCUUCGCACAGUAGUGCGAAAGUGCUAGGAAGCAAAGUUCCUUAAACUCUAAAGUUUCUUCGUUCAAAA